CACACCGCCCGUCACACCAUGGGAGUGGGUUUCACCAGAAGUAGCUAGCCUAACCGCAAGGAGGGCGACUACCACGGUGAGAUUCAUGACUGGGGUG
rnacentral:rRNA from 1 species